rnacentral:rRNA from 1 species
UACGGAGGGUGCGAGCGUUGUCCGGAAUCACUGGGCGUAAAGGGCGCGUAGGCGGCGCGGGAAGUCAUCGGUGAAAGUUCAGGGCUCAACUCUGAAUCGGCCGGUGAUACUCUCGUGCUCGAGCACUGUAGAGGCAGGUGGAAUUCCGGGUGUAGCGGUGGAAUGCGUAGAGAUCCGGAAGAACACCGGUGGCGAAGGCGGCCUGCUGGGCAGUAGCUGACGCUGAUGCGCGAAAGCUAGGGGAGCAAACAGG